rnacentral:tRNA from 1 species
GCUUGUGUAGUUCAGUUGGUAGAAUGUUUACCUAGCAUGCAUGAAGCCCUGGGUUCAAUCCCCAGCACUGCA